AUUGAACGCUGGCGGUAGGCCUAACACAUGCAAGUCGAACGGCAGCACAGGAGAGCUUGCUCUCUGGGUGGCGAGUGGCGGACGGGUGAGGAAUACAUCGGAAUCUACUUUUUCGUGGGGGAUAACGUAGGGAAACUUACGCUAAUACCGCAUACGACCUACGGGUGAAAGCAGGGGACCUUCGGGCCUUGCGCGAUUGAAUGAGCCGAUGUCGGAUUAGCUAGUUGGCGGGGUAAAGGCCCACCAAGGCGACGAUCCGUAGCUGGUCUGAGAGGAUGAUCAGCCACACUGGAACUGAGACACGGUCCAGAAUCCUACGGGAGGCAGCAGUGGGGAAUAUUGGACAAUGGGCGCAAGCCUGAUCCAGCCAUACCGCGUGGGUGAAGAAGGCCUUCGGGUUGUAAAGCCCUUUUGUUGGGAAAGAAAUCCAGCUGGCUAAUACCCGGUUGGGAUGACGGUACCCAAAGAAUAAGCACCGGCUAACUUCGUGCCAGCAGCCGCAGUAA
rnacentral:rRNA from 1 species